rnacentral:rRNA from 1 species
UACGUAGGCAGCAAGCGUUGUUCGGAAUUACUGGGCGUAAAGAGUGUGUAGGCGGUGCUCCAAGUCUGGUGUGAAAUCUCCCGGCUCAACUGGGAGGGUGCGCUAGAAACUGGAAUGCUAGAGGAUGGGAGAGGUAAGCGGAAUUCCUGGUGUAGCGGUGAAAUGCGUAGAUAUCAGGAGGAACACCUGUGGUGUAGACAGCUUACUGGACCAUUUCUGACGCUGAGGCGCGAAAGCUAGGGGAGCAAACGGG